rnacentral:lncRNA from 1 species
UUUUUUUUUAUUUAUUUCUUUAGUUUACUUUAUUAUUAAUAUAUUAUUAUUAUAUGAUGGUUAAGUCUUUGGUUGUAUUAUGGAGGGUAUACCUACGUGUGAGCACAACACUUGGCUCCACAUCAGCGUGCUUACCACGUGGUGACAUGAGAAAUUCUAGGAGUUGUGUAUUGAAGUGAGCAAGCUGCUGCUGGUGCUGGAGUUUAGGGAUGAGGGUUUAUUUUAUUGGCAGGGUUACAUGAGUUUGUGAUGAUGUGUUAUUGUGUUUCUUUAGGUUUGAAU